rnacentral:rRNA from 1 species
GACGAACCGAGCGAACGUUGUUCGGAAUCACUGGGCUUAAAGGGCGCGUAGGCGGGUGCUCAAGUCCGGGGUGAAAUCCUCCAGCUCAACUGGAGAACUGCCUCGGAUACUGGGUGCCUCGAGGGUGGUAGGGGUAUGCGGAACUAUCGGUGGAGCGGUGAAAUGCGUUGAUAUCGAUAGGAACUCCGGUGGCGAAGGCGGCAUACUGGACCACAUCUGACGCUGAUGAGCGAAAGCAUGGGGAGCGAACAGG